UGUUGUAGUUCUCACAAGGGGGAGCAUCACUGAAUUCUGAAGAACAAUCUUAAUAAUUUGUUGUCAAACAUAUCCAGUUGAACUCUGCCAGCUUGAAUUUUGUGCUGCUGCUCCAAGGUGAAGUCAUCAGCCCUUGCAUCUCUGCAGUCAGUCAUCCACACAAGGAUCACAAGAUACUGUUUUCUACCAGCAGGCCAAAAUGCAUAUGGGCAGAGCACAGUCUCAGGUGAUAGCACUUUCAGGAAGUGUUGCUUAGUCAGAUAAUGCCGUAGUACUUGUACCAAAAGGCAAUAGCAGUUUCUGCUUCAGAAUCCAGAGGGUUGGCAUGUGGCUGGAUGAAGUAUCUGUCCUGGGUAUCUAAAUACUUACGCUGCAAAAAUGAAUGUUGGAGUGGAGAUCUGACAUUUAGGAGCUCUGGGAAAUACUUCUAGGAGUGUAGCUGGGGGAAAAACACUUUUCUAUUCUGUAUAUUUUUGACAAGUUGUAUUUAUUUGACCCCUCCAAAAGAAAGAAGUGAGAUGGGAGGGAAAGAGUGUGAUACACACCCACACCAGAAAGCCAGCAUGCACACCAGGAUCAGCCACUACAGAUUUUUGGGUGAGAGACUUACCAAUUGAUGAGAGAAGCUUAUCCACAGAAGACUGGAACAGAAAGCAGAAGAAAAUCUCAGAGAUCUGACAUAUUCUUAAGUAUUUAUUUCAGGUUCUUCCUUUGUUACAGAUUGUACGGAAAAUAUUCCCUAAAAUGUUUUACCCAUCUGUUGAAAACACACACGCAUUUUCUCUUAAAUAUUGCAUUUAGUAAGGUGUAACCCUGUAUAUGCUGGCUAAUUUUCAUAACCACCAGAACCCAAUCACAAAAUGCAAAGAAAUCUUAACACCAAGGACAGAACUGGAGUGCUCAAGGUGCAUGUGCUACACAGUGUUACACACAGGCAUCAGCACACAGCAGUAGCUCAUUACUUAUCUCAGCCAUCUGAACUUCAGGCUAUUUUAGAAAAAGUUGGCAGUCUUUCCACUUCCCAACGAAGACUCUGGAGUACACUUCUCUGAAGUCAGCAAAGUAUUCCUGAUUUUUCCAAAAGUGAUACCAGUUCAUUAUAAAACAAGCUCAAGCACCAUUUGUCAAACCGAGUAGUCAGUCUGGUAUAGCCAGAAAGGCACCAGAUUAUGACUUAAGGCAGAUACUAUUGUCCCAUCGCAACCACAACCAGGCAAAUCAACCAUUUCAUUCUUCUCUGCUUUCUGGUGAUAUUUGUAUAGACUGCUCAUUCUUCAGGGAGGAAGCUGCCUCUGAGUAUAUGCUCUUGCAACCUGAAGUACAAGCAGUCAUUCCUGUAAUACGUAUAAAAGCAAAAUAUCUGGGUUUUUUUUGUUGUUGUUGUUUGCUUUUUGUUUAUUUAGGGUUUUUUGUGCAUUUCCUCACUUACACUGAUCUGCUGCUUAGCUCAUUGUGGAAGACCUGCCCAAGUAUGUAGCCACAAAACAGGACUUUAUACAGAACAUUAAUCUGCCCUAUCUCAUCAGGCAUCAGGACAAGGAAGACUUCCAUAUACUCAAUUGUUCGUUAACAUAAUCAGUAUUUGUACUUAAUGGUAUGUUUCUUGGUUUAAAACCCAGGCAGACUUAUUUGGUAUGAAGAAACAAGUAAUCAAAUUUAUCUUUUACCCUACCACCUUAAACCUUAUUGAUUUAACAACUGUGGGAAGACAGACUGGAUGGUCUGAAGUUUGAAGAUGAAGUCUGGAAAGCAAACACUACCUUCUGCUAGUAUUAAGAAAGCAAAAGAUUCCAGUGUAUCCAACCACAACUGAACUCACCGAUCACUUGAACAGGAAGCAAGGAGAACAAAAGAAGAAAAAAAAAAAGAGAAAAAAAAAAGGAAUUACCUUGGUUUCUACACUGUACUUGCUUCAGUUUAUAAAGACAGACAUUAGAGUGGAAUAUUCCUACAAAAUGGAGCCUGAAGAAGCAGAACUGUUGGAAGGAACUUCUAGAAACAAAGCCCUGAGCAGAAAUUUUUAGAAAACUGAAAGAAGCCUUCAGAUGACACCUUUAGAGGCUGAGCUGCUUGCAACUAAUGACAGGAGAGGGUAGGCAAUGGAGAACAUAAAGUUUUGAACCUGAUGGAAAACAGAAAGGGCACAGUGAAAAGGAAGACUGAAUUCAGAGAGAGGGGGAAUCGGCACAUGGUGACAGAUGUAAUGAGAAAGAUCUGAUACAAAUGGUUCAUGUGAAAUAGUACAAAGAAAAAGGAACAGACAUGCAUAAAACCCACACAACUUCACAGCUGCAAUCAGGCUGAACUGCAUACUUAGAGAGUUGCGACAACAGUGAAAAACACAAUUUCACCUUUUAUUCCAAAAGCUGUAUUUUCCCUAGGCCUAAUGGGCAAAGCAGAUAAGCUCAGAUUAAUCACUAAUGCAAUUCCAGGUCAUCUGGCAGACUUGCACCUGCCAAUAUCACAAGACGACUAGAUUCAAACUUAGGAUGUGUUCCUGAGACAUCAGGGUAGUAGUUUCCUGCUCUCUCAAGGAUAAUAGGUAACAAAGGAUUUUGCAGGGUAAUUUUGUCUUCUGAAUAACACAACCCUUAGAAAUAAACCUUAAGGAAGUUACUACAGUGUCAUGCAAAGGCAGCCAUGAUACAACACAGUUAGUAUAUAUAUGUAUCUAUUAUACAACUGGUUCUGUAAGAUCUGAGAAAGACAAAUAUAGUAAUUGACAGCUGCUACAAACGAAAAGCUACAAGGUGAAUCUUACUUGGGGAGAAGUGAGAAUCAACAAAUGUGCAGCCCUACUCUUUUAUCAAGGCCCUUCUUGCUACCCCUAGGAAGUCACUAAUUCACUGAAAAAAAUAAAAAUAAAAAUUUGCUUACAGUUGCCAUCAUAUGGGACAUCAGUAAAAAAGAGAAAAGAUGUAUAUUAAAUGUCCGAAAUCUUAAGUUUCUAAUACUGACAGCAGAGCAAUCUCGAGCUGCCUAGACAUGACAGCACCUAAAUGCAACUCUGAAAGCUUCAGGCACUUAGUAGUCUGCUCUCUGCUACUGCUGCUGUUCUAACACUGCUCAGUGAGGCUUCAUGGGGGGAAAAUCUGAGGGUGGAAAAAGGUACAGGAGACCUGGCAGUUCCCAAAUAAAUGUCAUGACAACAGGUUCAAAUUAUGCCAAUGGAAAGAAAGGAUCGCAAGUGUAAAAAGCAACCAACCUGACCAACAAAGAGCUCUUCAAUGAUAUCAGAAGAAAAAAGCAUGUAAGUAAAGCAGGACAGAUUAUUUAAGAAUUAUUAAGUAGGAGCAACAAGAGAACACAGGGACUAUAUCAGAACCAAAAGAUGAAAAAAAAGUUGCAGUUGACAAUAUGAGAUUGCUCUGUAAGUACACCUGCAUCAGAAGAAAAAAACCCAACAAACCAACAACCAGGAAGCAUUAGUUACACAAGAUGGAAAAUAAACAACUGACAGCUAAUGACAUUAGAAAUGAACUUGUCAAUGGCUGUUCUCACUUCAGUAUUCCCUAGUGAUGGCAACUCUAAGCAACUGUAUUCACACUGACAAAGAAAGAUCUCUGCCUAGUAAAAGGAAAGAAUGGGUUAGAAUGUGUCCUGAAUUUCAGUGUUCAUGGGUUCUCUGGGCCCCAAAGGCUUCUCCAUAUACGUAAAAAUUGAUAUGUAAAUUUUUUACCACACAAAAAUACGGUAAAAAAGUACCCUCAACCCCAGUAGUAAUAGUAGUUGUAUUUGAGAACUGGCAAGUUGAAAUGCUUAUUUGUAAACAGAAAGACAAGGAAGAAGAGAAGCAGCAAAACCUUCUUGACCAGAGUCAAGACCGUUAAUUUCUAAUUCUAAAAAAUAUUUUGGAACAAGAUCUCAAACUAUACUCUUUUAACGCUUUCCACAGUAACUGACAGGUCAGACAAGAACAAAUUAUGUUAAAAUCCUUUCUUCCACAUUAGUGUAAUGAAAAAGCAGUAAAUGAAGGAUCUUUAUCUUGACAUCUAUCACAAGAUAGUCUCAUAAGGAAGACUAAUACAGUUCAGAUGAAACUAUUACUUUAUGAAUGCAGAGCUAGAGUUAUCAGAAAAGAAAAAAAAAAUAAAAUCAGUUGACUGUCAAAACAGAAAGCUGCAAGGAUGUUCUGCAGAUGUCCUAGGAUCAUUUCCAAUUACAUCCUAAUAACCUAGAUGAAAAUCAAUAGACAAUAUAGAGUUUAAGUGUCUCCCAGAUCUACUAGAGGACAACAGGCAAAGGAAAAAAUUAUCUUGACAAGUUAAAAAAAGUUGUCUAGAAAAAUCUUUAAUACUAAUAACAAAAGGAAUCAUUCAAAACUCAAGUCUGAAUCAGUCACUGCAGCAAACAAGACCUCAGAUUUCUGACACCUUGAAUGCCGUAACAUAGCAAAGGAAUAUAAAGUAUUCCUGUUUAAUUGCCUCACUAUUUACCUUAGGUUUUUUCCUGACACAAUAGGGAUAUAACCAUUGAAAUGGUGUAAAAAAAAAAUAAAUAAUCUCUUUCUCUCCCCAAAAAGAAUUCUUGACUUACUUCAGAUCUACAAAUCUUUUAUGAAACUUCAAUUUAGAGAUUUGGCAACCGUUAGAAGGGAAGAACACUGCCAUCUCCUGGAGCAAGCGAAACUAGCAGACCCCUGAAUGCCUCUGUUCUGCUCUCCAUCUUGCAUCGCUUUCUAUGCACUGAAAAGUAACCUCAGUCACCAUCAGAUGUUGUGUUUGGAAAUACAAACAAAAGGCUACGGUAGCCUACCACUUGGCAAGAUAAAUCUUGGCGGCUUAGGUUUAGUAGCAACGUGAACCAGGUCUACCCACCCACCCCAACCAAUUCUACAUGCAUGAACAAGUUUCCUUUCAAUCAGCCCUCCUUAGCACCUACAAAUCCUGAACAGAAAUCUCCAUAAAUGCAGGACUGUGACCAGAAACCAAAUACAGGAGCUUAUUUUCGUUAAAAGCACAGCAGAGUGGAUGAAGUGGAGUUGUAGGUGACUCCUGGCCUACUGCUUUCAAAUCUUUCUGCUAUCAGCUUGCUUUUACUGUCAAGGACCCAUGUUACAGCCACCUCUUUUCAUCCAACAACCUUCAAGGGGCAUCUUCUGAGAAUGUACCAAAUGCUCUAUUAUUAUAACCUAGUCAGGUACACACCUCUGUGCUACGCUAAACAACUGGUAACAGUCCGUAAGAAGGUACACUGUAUCUGCAAAAACUCUAUCUAUAAAAUUACUUCAGUAAUG